AAUAAAGAAACAAAUAUAUACUUAAUGGACAAAAUAUAAAUUUCCUACUUGAAAUAAGAGUCUAAUUAACCUGCAAUUGUCCCUGAGCCAAUCCUUAUAUACUAGGUUUACCAGCUUUUGAAUAAAUGAAAACUUGCGUUAAUUUCAAAAUGCUAUACAAAAUAUCCUUGUUUUUGGUGCCUUUGGGAGAGCAGAGUCGAAAAUGAGUACUCGGUUAACAAAAAUUGGCCUUGAAGACAUGGCGCGUUUCAAGAAAAUCAAGGAGAGAUAAAAUCUCACUUCCACCCUGGCAUAUCAAGCUGUGGCUGAUGAAGCAAUUUGCGAAGGCUUUAAAUGAAAAUGGAGAUUGUCUGGGUUACUGGUCACGUAAUUUCCCUGGGAUUAGUGCGGAAAAACUAAAAGCUGGUGUAUGUGAUUUCAUAUAAGUUAACGAGACGAUGUUAUGUUCAUUUUAAAUAGUGACGCUAUCUUCAGGGUGAGGUUGGAAACUUUUUGAGUGACCCUCGUAAGCAGGUUGAGAGUUUAACUGGAAUUGAAGAGGCCAGCAGAGUGAUAGGCAAAACAAGCAACGCAAGAGGAAGAAGAACGAAAUACAUGUUUCUUUUAUUUGAUAACGAAGAUAUUGGCAUCUUUGUUUUUUUUAGUAUGCGUUUCGUUAGAUAUAUAAAAAUUCUCUGAAUUCUACCCGGUAUAUAGUACUUAUUAUUAUUGGAUGCCUGCUCGCUUACAAGGGUAGAUAUAGCCAAUUUUUAUUCUGUUAAAAUAAACUUUUUUUCCUUGCACUAUCCGGACUACAUACGGACGUACAAUUAUCAGUGCUGGGGAAUAGAUAGCAAUAUGAAAAAUCGGAAGAGAAAAUAUCAAAUAAAUAUAAUUGUCAAUCUUCUGAUAUGGCAAAGGCAAUAAGUAAUUCUAUUCAAUUCCAUUUUAUCCACUUCGAAGUCCACAUCCGUACAAAGUAACAUUGAAACAGCGGACCAAAGAAAGCGACCGGACGACGAUUGGUGCUUUGUAGGAAAUUGGUAAUAAGCCAAAUAGUUUUCGCAUUAGACCGGUGGUCAAUCGAGACGGUCACGCAUCGACCUAAUUGUAUGACCUGAAAUGGAGAAUUUACUAUAGACGGUCGGCGUCACCGUAAAAUGAUUAAUAAAGGAGUUUGGGGUUGGACACAGGAUACACUUUUAUCGAUCGUUUAUAUUUUCGGAGUAAUAUGUGCAUAAGGUUUUGUACGCGUAUUAAUCGAUUGAUCAAUUAAAUUACAAACUUGCUGCAAUUUUCUACGUCCUGCACCUACCUUGGUCUGAACACCAAUAUGAUGAUCCGAACGCGGACUCGAUAGUCCGAAGUUAUAGGAUUUGUGUUGAAAGCUACGACAGGUGAUGUAUAUUGAAUUAAUUGUAGUACAAAAUGGCGUCACAUAAAAUAAAAAUAAUAUAAUACAUAAAUAAAUAAAUAAAAAAAAUAGAGAAACAAAUGUAGAUGUAGGACCCGACUGUGGAUUUUAAAGCGAAAUACCUAUGGUGCAUCACAAAGUCUGCUUCGAGAAUUGGUUGUGGAAGAUCCAGAGACUUAUAGAAAUCAUCUGAGCAUGAAUAAUGCACAUUUUGAAGAUAUUUUAGAAACAACUCUUGGAAUAAUUCCAAGAAGCGAUAAAAAUAUGCGUGAAGCAUCACUAACAAGGAUAAUAUUGCAAAUAACUCUUCGGUUCUUGGUCACCGGUGACAGCUAUGCGUCACUCGACGCCCUGUAUAUGGUACCAAAUGUUCAAUAUCACUAUUUCUGCAGGACAUUUUGGACGCUAUAUAUGAAGGACUUGAAGAUUAUGUAAAGGUUAGUAACACAAUUUAUUUUGUUCUCUUGUUUAUUUAAGGCUAUAACUCGGGUAAGAUAGGUAUGUCAAGGAUGACUGGUUCCGUUAAUACUUGUAAACGCUGCAGCUAGGGCGGUUAUCCACUGAUAUAUUAUUAGACAUUUCCAUAGUAUGUGUUCGGGCCUGUGGCGGUGGCGAAGAAAUGUUACUACACUAGGUAUCCGAAGGAUAAUAAAAAUCAUCUGGUGUGGUAUUCGGUGAUCUCACGUAUUGCUAAUGCCAUAUAAUUUAAAUACUGCCUGCGCUCCUGUGUUAAGAUGUUUUGAAGUUGUUGAAUUUUUUAAGCUCCCCGCAGCGGCAACUGUCUUAAUUGGUUAGCAAUGUGUUUGCCAAAUGUUGUGAACUCAGUAGCAGUUGCAAUAUAUUGCGAUAUAUUUGACAAGUGUGGUUCUCCAUUUGUAUUAUCAUUUGUGUUAUCAAUAUCCAAUUUUGAAAUCUUUUAUGCAAUGUGUUGCGCUUGCUGCGACGCGUCUUCAGGGUCCUCAGUCUGCUGCGACAAAAUUGAAGAUUUACAGCUUUAAUUUCACAUUUAUUAUAUUAUUUUUGUCUGUUAUUUAAAAAUCAUUCAUUUUCCGAUAUUUUGGGUUUAUUAAUAUAUUGUAGAACAGCUUGUAAUGUUGCUCGCCGUAGAUCUCUUUUUAAACAAUUUUAUUUCCCCUCAUAGAACCCAGCAAUAUAUCAAAUCUUUCGAUCAUUUCAUUUCUGGGGAACUUCUACGUGAGAAGGCUAAGUUCUUCUACAAAGAAAUAACAAAAAAAGCCGAUUUUAAAACAAGUUUAGGAUGGCUUGAUGAAUUCAAGUAAAGAUUUGGUAUCUGCCAGUUAACAGUUUGUGGAGAAUCACUUUCAAGCAACUACCAUACGAUUUGUGAAAAAAUUUACUGGUAUAAUAAAAUAAAAAACACGCGCGCGCUUAGUAAGACAAAUUCAAGGUUCCGAAUCCAAGAAGAGAUUAGGAAGUUAGGUAAAAACUUGACCAGAGUUUAACGAAUGAAGAGAUCGCAACAUGGGUGUCGCAUGAUAAAGUAUCAACGUUUAAAAAUUUUA